rnacentral:lncRNA from 10 species
GGCAAGUCCACCUACAGGUCCCUGGUAACAAGCACAGGUACCAGUGCCAAGAGAAAAUCCAGUGGGUGGCCACCAAGCAUCAAGAUGUGUGCUUAGGCAUGGAGCUGGGAAACCAUCUUGGCCCCGAGUUCUCUGCACAGGGAUGAGGGUGACCUAAACUCUUAAUACAGAAGAGUGUGUGCUCCAAGAGUCUGAAGAUCUGCCUAGGCAUGGAGUGGAGAAGGCCCACCUACACCACGAUCUAUAUCCAGGAAUGGUGGAGUGGCUCAGACUGCUGAUCCAGGUGAGCAGGCGCUCCAAAUGACUGGAGACCCACCUGGGCAUGAAGGAGAGAGGGCCUCCUGGCACCAGGAUCUCUGCACAGGAAAUGUGGGGCAGCUCAGGCUGCUGAAACAGGCAACAGGAGAUCCAAGAUACUCUUAUCUGGCAGGACAUUCCAAGGACCUAGAGAUUAUCUCUCGGGAGCUGAAGGCGAAAGCCAGACCUUUCUUUGGGUAAUUUGAGUUCAUAAUCCCUGUAUGGAAUUCUCAGUAAACUGAACCAGAGCCUUUCAAAUGAACCCAG